AACGAACGCUGGCGGCGCGCCUAACACAUGCAAGUCGAACGAGAAUCCGGGGCAACCCGGUAGUAAAGUGGCAAACGGGUGAGGAAUACAUGGGUAACCUACCCUUGAGAAGGGAAUAACCCGCCGAAAGGUGAGCUAAUACCCUAUACGCUAUCUUUUUUUCGAAAAGGAUAGGAAAGCCGGGUCGAGGACCUGGUACUCAAGGAGGGGCUCAUGUCCUAUCAGCUUGUUGGUGGGGUAACGGCCUACCAAGGCUACGACGGGUAGCUGGUCUGAGAGGAUGAUCAGCCACACUGGCACUGAGAUACGGGCCAGACUCCUACGGGAGGCAGCAGUGAGGAAUAUUGCGCAAUGGGCGAAAGCCUGACGCAGCGACGCCGCGUGGGGGAGUGAAGGUUUUCGGAUUGUAAACCCCUUUCAUGAGGAAAGAUAAAGUGGGUAACCACUUAGACGGUACCUCAAGAAGAAGCCACGGCUAACUUCGUGCCAGCAGCCGCGGUAAA
rnacentral:rRNA from 1 species